UACGUAGGUGACCAGCGUUGUCCGGAUUUACUGGGCGUAAAGAGCGCGCAGGCGGUCGUUCAAGUCGAGUGUGAAAGCCCCCGGCUCAACUGGGGAGGGUCACUCGAUACUGAUCGACUUGAAGGCAGGAGAGGGAAGCGGAAUUCCCGGUGUAGUGGUGAAAUGCGUAGAUAUCGGGAGGAACACCAGUGGCGAAGGCGACUACCUGGCCCAUUCUUGACGCUGAGGCGCGAAAGCUAGGGGAGCGAACGGG
rnacentral:rRNA from 1 species